CAGUCGCCACGGUAAUACGUAGGUGGCAAGCGUUGUCCGGAAUUAUUGGGCGUAAAGGGCUCGCAGGCGGUUUCUUAAGUCUGAUGUGAAAGCCCCCGGCUCAACCGGGGAGGGUCAUUGGAAACUGGGAAACUUGAGUGCAGAAGAGGAGAGUGGAACUCCACGUGUAGCGGUGAAAUGCGUAGAGAUGUGGAGGAGCACCAGUGGCGAAGGCGACUCUCUGGUCUGUAACUGACGCUGAGGAGCGAAAGCGUGGGGAGCGAACAGGAUUAGAUACCCCCGUAGUCCCUGUCUCUUAUAC
rnacentral:rRNA from 1 species